rnacentral:rRNA from 1 species
CAACUCUCAACAACGGAUAUCUUGGCUCCCGUAACGAUGAAGAACGCAGCGAAUUGCGAUACGUAGUGUGAAUUGCAGAAUUCCGUGAACCAUCGAAUCUUUGAACGCAAAUUGCGCUCGAGGCCUCGGCCAAGAGCAUGUCUGCCUCAGCGUCGGCUACUACCCUCAA